GNNNGCNGCUAUACAUGCAAGUCGAGCGAGCGGUUUUAACGGAAGGCCUUCGGGCCGGAAGAUAGAAGCGCGAGCGGCGGAUGGGUGAGUAACACGUGGGCAACCUGCCCUCUAGCUUGGGAUACCACUUGGAAACAGGUGCUAAUACCAAAUAAGAAGUAAGAGCGCAUGCUCAAGCAGUAAAAGGCGGCUUUCGAGCUGUCACUAGAGGAUGGGCCCGCGGUGCAUUAGCUAGUUGGUAAGGUAACGGCUUACCAAGGCGAUGAUGCAUAGCCGAGUUGAGAGACUGACCGGCCACAUUGGGACUGAGACACGGCCCAAACUCCUACGGGAGGCAGCAGUAGGGAAUCUUCCACAAUGGACGCAAGUCUGAUGGAGCAACGCCGCGUGAGUGAAGAAGGUUUUCGGAUCGUAAAGCUCUGUUGUUGGUGAAGAAGGAUGUGGAUAGCAACUGAUCCAUAUUUGACGGUAAUCAACCAGAAAGUCACGGCUAACUACGUGCCAGCAGCCGCGGUAAUACGUAGGUGGCAAGCGUUGUCCGGAUUUAUUGGGCGUAAAGCGAACGCAGGCGGGAGAACAAGUCAGCUGUGAAAGCCCUCGGCUUAACCGGGGAAUGUCAACUGAAACUGUUUUUCUUGAGUGCAGAAGAGGAGAGUGGAACUCCAUGUGUAGCGGUGGAAUGCGUAGAUAUAUGGAAGAACACCAGUGGCGAAGGCGGCUCUCUGGUCUGUAACUGACGCUGAGGUUCGAAAGCAUGGGUAGCGAACAGGAUUAGAUACCCUGGUAGUCCAUGCCGUAA
rnacentral:rRNA from 1 species